GGUAUUAUAAUAUUUUUGAAAUCAUGGCUCUGAAAUCAAUUUGCAGCUUCAAUGAUGUGCCAGAGGUAAUGAAGCAGCUGUCACCACUUCUAGUUAAGUUGAAUGAAGAGCUGCAAAUGCCAUCCUUUCCCGUACAAGCAUCCCAAUGAAAUAACCCUCAAAAGAUGACACAAUGGCCAGCCAUGGGAAGUGAUCAAGAGAUAAUAUGUUCGUAUCGAAAGAAAUCCGAAUAACUGAGCCUUUCCUGAGUAGUAAAAGAAUCAUUGAUAAGCAGUUUGAUUGGUAGUUAAGGAAUUUUUUCCUUUUGGGGUAUGAAGUAGUGAACUUGCUCCUUCCGAGGACACAAAUAGUCAACCCUCUGUUUACUAUCUGUCUAAUCUUUCUUCAACUGAUCCUAUAGGAUAAAUGAUGAAUCCUACUUUACUUCAU
rnacentral:lncRNA from 1 species